AGGGGAGUAGCCUAGUGGCAAGGUGCCCGGCUUUGAACCGGGAAAUCGAGGGUUCAAUUCCUUCCUCCCCUG
rnacentral:tRNA from 1 species